CAGACGGGAGGCAGCAGGGAGGAAGAGGGGGCAAGGGCCGAGAGGCUGAACCAGCCAAGGCGCGUGAGGGAAGACGGCCCUACGGGUUGUAAACCUCUUUUGUCGGGGAGCAAAGCGAACCACGUGUGGUUCAUUGAGAGUACCCGAAGAAAAAGCAUCGGCUAACUCCGUGCCAGAAGCCGCGGUAAUACGGAGGAUGCGAGCGCUAUCCGGAUUUAUUGGGUUUAAAGGGUGCGCAGGCGGAGGUGCAAGUCAGCGGUCAAAUUGCGGGGCUCAACCCCGUACUGCCGUUGAAACUGCAUCCCUUGAGUGCGCGAGAAGUAUGCGGAAUGCGUGGUGUAGCGGUGAAAUGCAUAGAUAUCACGCAGAACUCCGAUUGCGAAGGCAGCAUACCGGCGCGCAACUGACGCUCAUGCACGAAAGCGUGGGUAUCGAACAGGAUUAGAUACCCUAGUAGUC
rnacentral:rRNA from 1 species